UACGUAGGGGGCAAGCGUUGUCCGGAAUCAUUGGGCGUAAAGAGCGUGUAGGCGGCUCGGUAAGUCCGCUCUGAAAGCCCGGGGCUCAACCCCGGGAGGCGGGCGGAUACUGUCGGGCUAGAGUCCGGAAGAGGCGAGUGGAAUUCCUGGUGUAGCGGUGAAAUGCGCAGAGAUCGGAAAGAACACCAACGGCGAAAGCACUCUGCUGGGCCGACACUGACACUGAGAGACGAAAGCUAGGGGAGCGAAUGGG
rnacentral:rRNA from 1 species